rnacentral:SRP_RNA from 1 species
GCGUUCGCUCACCGGGUCAGGUCCGGAAGGAAGCAGCCCAGGUGAAUUGCGGCGGGUCGCUCGGCUCCUUUUCCAUAU